rnacentral:rRNA from 1 species
UGGGGAAUAUUGGACAAUGGGCGCAAGCCUGAUCCAGCCAUGCCGCGUGUGUGAAGAAGGCCUUAGGGUUGUAAAGCACUUUCAGUGGGGAGGAAGGGUGUUGUGUUAAUAGCACAGCAUUUUGACGUUACCCACAGAAGAAGCACCGGCUAACUCCGUGCCAGCAGCCGCGGUAAUACGGAGGGUGCAAGCGUUAAUCGGAAUUACUGGGCGUAAAGCGCACGCAGGCGGCUUUUUAAGUCGGAUGUGAAAGCCCCGGGCUCAACCUGGGAAUUGCAUCUGAUACUGGGAAGCUAGAGUAUGUGAGAGGGGGGUAGAAUUCCAAGUGUAGCGGUGAAAUGCGUAGAGAUUUGGAGGAAUACCAGUGGCGAAGGCGGCCCCCUGGCACAAUACUGACGCUCAGGUGCGAAAGCGUGGGGAGCAAAACAGGAUUAGAUACCCUGGUAGUCCACGCCGUAAACGAUGUCUACUAGAUGUUCGUGGUCUUGUACCGUGAGUAUCGCAGCUAACGCAUUAAGUAGACCGCCUGGGGAGUACGGUCGCAAGAUUAAAACUCAAAUGAAUUGACGGGGUCAUAGCUGUUUCC